CGGCGGACGGGUGAGUAACGCGUGGGUAACCUGCCUCAUACAGGGGGAUAACAGUUGGAAACGACUGCUAAUACCGCAUAAGCCCACGACCCGGCAUCGGGUAGAGGGAAAAGGAGCAAUCCGCUUUGAGAUGGCCUCGCGUCCGAUUAGCUAGUUGGUGAGGUAAUGGCCCACCAAGGCGACGAUCGGUAGCCGGACUGAGAGGUUGAACGGCCACAUUGGGACUGAGACACGGCCCAG
rnacentral:rRNA from 1 species